rnacentral:rRNA from 1 species
GAUUAACGCUGGCGGCGUGCAUAACACAUGCGAGUCGAACGAUGAAACUUUACUGACUUCUUCGGAAUGAUUUAAAGCGGAUUAGUGGCGAACGGGUGAGUAACGCGUGAGUAACCUGCCUUACACAAGGGGAUAGCCUCUGGAAACGGAGAAUAAUACCCUAUGAAACCAGACAAUCGCAUGAUAAUCUGGUCAAAAUGUUUAGUGGUGUAAGAUGGACUUGCGUCUGAUUAGCUAGUUGGUGAGAUAAAAGCUCACCAAGGCAACGAUCAGUAGCCGGCUUGAGAGAGUGUACGGCCACAUUGGGACUGAGACACGGCCCAGACUCCUACGGGAGGCAGCAGUGGGGAAUUUUGCACAAUGGGGGAAACCCUGAUGCAGCGACGCCGCGUGAUUUAGAAGGCCUUCGGGUUGUAAAAAUCUUUUGUAUAGGAAGAAAAUGACAGUACUAUACGAAUAAGGGCCGGCUAAUUACGUG